rnacentral:rRNA from 1 species
GGCCAGACUCUAGGGAGGCAGCAGUGGGGAAUAUUGCACAAUGGGGGAAACCCUGAUGCAGCGACGCCGCGUGAGUGAAGAAGUAUUUCGGUAUGUAAAGCUCUAUCAGCAGGGAAGAAAAACCGACCAUAGGGUCGCUAGACGGUACCUGAUUAAGAAGCCCCGGCUAACUACGUGCCAGCAGCCGCGGUAAUACGUAGGGGGCAAGCGUUAUCCGGAUUUACUGGGUGUAAAGGGCGUGUAGCCGGGCCGGCAAGUCAGAGGUGAAAUCCCAAGGCUCAACCUUGGGACUGCAUUUGAAACUGUUGGUCUUGAGAGUCGGAGAGGCAGGCGGAAUUCCUAGUGUAGCGGUGAAAUGCGUAGAUAUUAGGAGGAACACCAGUGGCGAAGGCGGCCUGCUGGACGACAACUGACGGUGAGGCGCGAAAGCGUGGGGAGCAAACAGGAUUAGAUACCCGAGUAA